AUGAUGUGCACAGAUGGGCUUUCGGAUGCUGAGAUUGGUAUAUUACACGCCCUUCAUUGGCCUGAUGGCACAAGGAAGAAAUCUUCUGAAGGCAAUGCAGAACAUAGGAAUAUCAGCUUAUUGGUUCAAGCGUUACUAGACAAAUACAAUGAAGAUCAUCAUCUUUUGGGGGAUUUUGCAUAUGAACUUGAUGGUGUUGUUAUCUUCCGAGAAUUUGUUGAGGGGGGGAAAGUGACUAGGUUCUAUCAUAUCAAUCUGGCUACAAAAACCAAAGGAGAAGAUGGUUUGCACAGUGGCGUCAACAAUCUAUUUUUUGCUGAAGUCAGACAAAUUAAAGGAGAAAAUGUAUAUGUACUCAGUUGUUUAUGUAUGGUUAAAGCUACUGACAAUGGCCAAUGCUAUGGUUGCCUGAGUUAUGGAAAUGUUGAUUUGAGGCACCCUGUUGAUACUGAUAAAUACAAAGGUGGGCACGCUGCCUCGCGCUUACCAUGUUGCUGUUUUGAUCUACGGUGUGAUAUUAUCCCUGGCAUAGAUGUACCUGCAUACAUCGAGGACGAGGAGACUAGGCUGGCAGAGGAGGAGGCUAGGUUAAGAUAUAUUCAGUGCCCUGCUCCGGUAAAAUUGGAUGGUGCAAGAGUGCGUGCUGGUUUGGCAAAGGGAGAAGAUGUUGGUUUGACCAAGGGAGAGUGUGGCCAGGGAAGCGCGAAAUAUAUUGUACCUGCUAGGCGUCGCCUGCUGGUUGGAGUACCCCAUCAUCCUUGA
rnacentral:rRNA from 1 species